UCAUGCCGGACUCACAGACGGUGCAGACGUUUGUCCUUUGGAACGGCGAGUGGCCGUACGUGAAGCGUGGCGUGUCGGAGGUGCGUGCCGUUGCAGCAGGUGCCAUUGCUUCCGCCAAUGCUCUAGUUGACGUGCCGGCCUACUUGGCACGAGCGCGCAAGUACACGGCAGCGGCCGAUGAUUUCGUCACGGCGCAGUCGGCGAGGGCGAGCUCCAAACUAGAGUCACAUCAGUGGAUAGUGCCGGCAGCCGGGAUCGCGCUGGCGAGUGUCUACGUUGUCGUGCGAAGCGCGCCGUGGGGCGGCGUGAAGAUGAUGCGUAAUGGCCUGGUCACGGCAGGGGCGCUGACGGCAUUCAUGUAUCCACGUGAAAUUGUUCAUCAGAUUGACAGCGCUAUGCCGUUCCAGGCUCCGGCGUCGAUCAGCGAGCAGAAGAACGAGAGUUAGUGCAAGCGCUCUCCACUCGUGCGUGGACGUGCUCCUGUGUGCCUGCGCUUGACAGGCUCUGCGAGGGAGUGCGGGGGCUUCGAUCGCACGCUAGCGAGUGCCAAACAAGAGGAGCUUAGGAGAUAGAACAGCCUCGGCGUGUGCUCGAGAUGUCUCACACAACGGAAUCGCCAUGCCUCACUGUAUGCCUCGACUGCGGCACGGGCGGUGUUUGCACGUGCGCCUCUGUGUGCCUGUGUGUAGAGGAGAGACUCACCUUCUUGUUGUCCCGCGGCUCUGUGAGGCGAGCUCGGGUAUGCGCUGCCUGCACAACGUUCUUUGCGGUGGCUG
rnacentral:misc_RNA from 1 species